GAGUUAAAACUAUUAAUACUCAAGACACAAUUUCAUUCAUCUUCACUUCAGGUUCACCACUGGGGCAAUGAUUUGGUUCAAUCUUUUGAACUAAAAUAUUCAUACACUAUAAGAGUUAUAAAAGUAUACACCUUUAAAAUAUUUUAGUAAUAUUCACAAAAUUAGGCAGCUAUCACUGCUAAUUACAGAACAUCUUCAUAAUCUCAAAAAAGAAAUCACAUGCCCACUUACAGCCAGUUCCUCUUUUCCUCUCCCCAAGACCCUAGCAACCACUCUAUCGCUAUGAAUUUGUCUAUUCUGCAUAUUUUUAAAAAUAUUUUUUAGAUGCAGAUGGACACAAUAAUCUUUAUUUUUAUGUGGUGCUGAGGAUUGAACACAGGGCCCCACGCAUGUGAGGCAAGCACGCUACCACUGAGCUACAACCCCAGUUCAUAUCCUUCAUAUUUUUAUUUGUGUCUAGCUUUUUUCUGUUAGAAAUAUUCCAAGAUUCACUAAAAUUGCAGCAUGAAUCAGUACUUCAGUUCUUUUUUGUGGCUGAAUUGUAUCCCAUGGAAUGGAUAUAUAUUUUGUUUAUCUAUUGGGCACUGGGUUGUUUUCACUUUUGGGGUAUUGUGAAUAAUGCUGCUAGGAAUGUUUUUGUAUACAAGAUUUUGUAUGAAAAUAUUUUCAAUUUUUGGCAUAUACCUGGGAGUGAAAUUGCUGGGAUAUGGUAACUAUAAAUUCAACACUUUGAGGCAACAUCAAAUUGUUUACUCAUGUAACUGUACCAUUUUACAUCCCCACCAGCAAUGUACAAGGGUUUCAAUUUUUCCAUAUCCUUCUCAACACCUGUUAUUUUUUUUUUUUAUUACAGUCAUUCUAUGGGUAUGAGGUAGUAUUUCAUUGUGGUUAGAUUUACAUUUUCCUGAUGACUAAUGAUAUAGAGAAUGUAUUCACAUCCUUAUUGGCUAUUUGUAUAUCUUCUUUGGAGAAAUGUCUAUUCAAGUCCUUGGUCCACUUUUUAAUUGACUAUAUGAGCCAAUUGUUGCAUUAACAUUUGCUUUAAUUAGCUAAGGCUGCCACAAUGAAAUACCACUGGCUGAAUGGCUUAAACAAUAGAAUUUCUGUUCUUACAGUCCUAAAGAUCAGAGUUUAAGAUAGAAAUGAGGGCAGGUUGGUUUGUCUUGAGGCCUCUACCCUUGGCCUGCAGAUGGUCACCUUCUCACUGUGUCCUCAUAUGGCCUUUGCUCUGUGUGCUCAUUGCUGGUAUCUGUGUCUCCCUUUUUGUCUGUCUCUGUCUCUCUCUCAUAUGAUACCAAAUGAACUGGAUACCACCUCAUGCUUACAAUCUCAUUUAACCUUAGUUUCUUCCUUAAGGGCCUUAGCUCCAAAUACAGUCAUAUUGAGGGUUACAGUUUCAACAAAUGAAUUUGAGGACACAUAAUCCAAUCCAUUUUACUGCUGAAUAAAAGCAAAGCCAAGGGAAAAGUCUUGUUCAGUUGUCUAUUUCAUAAUUAUUUGUAAGACUUAACUUCUAUGUAAUGCAAAGCUUAUUUUGUGGUUGUUCAUGAUGAUGAUGAUGAUGAUGAUGAUGACGACGACGACCACUUUGUUGUUUUUUGUUGUGGGACACAUAUUCAGACUGUUUAGAGAGCCUCAGAUUUUCUGUACAGGAAAGUUCUGAUUGUCUAGUAGCUGGUAUUGAAUCUAACUGGGUCGCAAUAGGCUAUGAUGGACAGGAAGGUAAUUUUAACACCAUCUCAUAAUCUGAGACCAUCUCCACCGGGUCAAGUAUGUUAGAAAAGGUAAUGAGAUUGCUAGUGGUGCUUUGACCAGCAAAAUCAAGAGUCUUUUCCAAAAUGACCACUAGCCCUCUCCACAAACUUUCUGUUGGAGCCACAAACACAAAGGCCAUGGAAAAAUGUAAACACAGUAAUAUUUACUGUUAUCUGUGCCUUUUGGCCUCAAAUGUUAAUGCAGAAAAAUCCAUAUUACACAAAAUACUCAUUUUUCCAAACCUCCUUGUACUAGUGUCAGAAAAAAAU
rnacentral:lncRNA from 1 species